UACGAAGGGUGCAAGCGUUAAUCGGAAUUACUGGGCGUAAAGCGUGCGCAGGCGGUUCGUCGUGUCCGAUGUGAAAGCCCCGGGCUCAACCUGGGAAUGGCAUUGGAAACUGGCGGACUCGAGUGUGGCAGAGGGGGGUGGAAUUCCGCGUGUAGCAGUGAAAUGCGUAGAGAUGCGGAGGAACACCGAUGGCGAAGGCAGCCCCCUGGGCUAACACUGACGCUCAGGCACGAAAGCGUGGGGAGCAAACAGG
rnacentral:rRNA from 1 species